rnacentral:snoRNA from 1 species
UGAUGAUGGUGAGGGCAAUUUCUAAGCAUACUCUUAAAUCUCUCCCAAGCUUGGUAGAGAAUCAAUCUUUCUUUUUGCCUGAAACUCAGAAUCUCACUUCUCAAAUA